AAUGCUUUUUUUUCUCAUUGUAUCGAACAUAUUAGUUUGGAUGAAGUUAUCAAAACGAGCAAAAUCUAGUUCACGUAAAUAUCUUGCAUUAUUCAUAUGUGAACACACAGCAUCCAAGUCUUGUGUAAUACAAAUACCUGUAAAAUCAUAUUGAACAUAUUUAAAUCAGAUGAUCAUGCAUUUUAUGAUAUUGAUGCCACGUCAGUCAUUACGUAAAGAAAUAAACAAUACACAUGAGUUUUGUGAAAUUAAAUGAUUCGAAAGAUAAGUUGUAUUAUUAAAUAAAUGCUUACCAUAAAUGGAAGUUUCGUCUGUAAGUUUAACUUUAUUUUUAAAACAUUUAGCCGAAAUGAUCGUUAAUAAUAAUCUGAAGAAAUAAUUCAAAUCGAACAUAAAAUAAAUAAUAAAAAGAAUCGUUACGAGAAGAUAUAAUAUUUUGUUCAUAGAGAAAACUACGAAAGACAAAGCAUGACUUUCUUGUGCCGUUGAUGGAACUAUACUGAUUGUUUCGAAUAGAAGCUUACUAACGAUCAACUAAAUAGUUCAUUAUGUUAAGAUAUUCAUAAGAAAAAAGUUGCCAUUGUGUAAUGUCGUUAAUAAAUAAUAAACACGAUGUUUUUU